UAGGGAAUCUUCCGCAAUGGGCGAAAGCCUGACGGAGCAACGCCGCGUGAGUGAUGAAGGUCUUCGGAUCGUAAAACUCUGUUAUUAGGGAAGAACAAAUGUGUAAGUAACUAUGCACGUCUUGACGGUACCUAAUCAGAAAGCCACGACUAACUACGUGCCAGCAGCCGCGGUAAUACGUAGUUGGCAAGCGUUAUCUGGAAUUAUUGGGCGUAAAGCGCGGGUAGGCGGUUUUUUAAGUCUGAUGUGAAAGCCAGCGGCUCAACCGUGGAGAGUCAUUGGAAACUGGAAUACUUGAGUGCAGAAGAGGAAAGUGGAAUUCCAUGUGUAGCGGUGAAAUGCGCAGAGAUAUGGAGGAAAACCAGUGGCGAAGGCGACUUUCUGGUCUGAAACUGACGCAAAUGUGCAAAAGCGUGGGGAUCAAACAGG
rnacentral:rRNA from 1 species